AGAGGAGGAGACAGGAAAGGAGAAGAGGGAAGAUAGAGGAGGACAGGAGGAGAAAAUGGAGAGAAGGAGAAGGACAGAGAGGGCACGAAGAGCGAGGCCUACUGAAGGACAAUCAUUGUCUAUCAACAUGAAGAAUUACCUUUCUCUUUGUCCAUUCAGCCUACAUGUGCGAACACACACACACACGCACACACAUGCACACACAGGAGCAGGUUGACCUAUGGGGGAACACUGAUGGAAUCUUCAGUGGGAUUAACAGGGAUUUAGCCCAGUGUAAUGAUAUCUGAAUGAGUUGAUUAGCUAUCUGAUGACACUUUGCUGUCUGACCUCUAAAGCCCAAGAACAACUGGUAACUCGUCUCGUUCACUCAGGCUGCAUUCAAAUGGCAACAGGGCUAAAAUAAUAGGACUUUCUAUGAGGCGGCGAUCUGUGUUUUUUCAGCUGGAUGAACCAUAAAACCGUGUCAGCGUGUGGGCAAUCAUGGCACAUUCGGUUAUGUUGACGCGUCAGUUUUUAUUUGGCGUGUAACGGUAAGAAAAGGGGCAGAUCAUGCAAGAUGAGAUGAAAUACAACCAUGGUGGACAAAUGUUUCUAAAAAUGUCGAUGUAGAAAAACACUUAGAGCUGCAAAUACCUUUUGAACCAAGCCAAAGACAACAGGACAUGAUAAUGAUGAUCAUGAAGGAAGAGGGGGUAGGGGAGGCGCUUUGGGGGGGAUACCUGCUUAAGAACUAUUAGUCUUGGUCUCAGUACAGCAAGACAAUUUAAAAGCAUAGCUUGAGAUUACUGGGAAAAAUAUAUUUCAUGGCAUAGAGGCAUAGUUUGACCUAUUUGACUUGUCAUGUAUAUUGUUUACAUCCCAAACAUCCAGUAGUCGCAUACAGCAUGAGCUUGUUGGUGUGCGCUCUGAAGGUAUCCUCCAAUAACGAAAGUGGCGCACAGUCAAGAAUAAUUAUAUCUACGCUCAAGACUCAGCCGGAUGCUCCAUGUCUUUUCCUGUUUCUAGAUUGGCCAAAAGUUAGGCUGAAUCUGCAUUUUCAAUCUUUGGGUUUUAUACCCUCUCUUUAAAAAACUACUUUGUGAUAUCACUGUGACUGGGCCCAUGUUUUCUGUUGUCUGUGGUGCUCACUUAAGCAUGUUUUCUCAGUCAAAAACACCAGGUACCCCUCUAGAAACACCUUAUUUGUUUUUAUCAUAUUACUACCAGAAGCUCUGAGUGUCUUAGCAAUCAAAUGAAGUAAAGAUGCCGGCACUGGCUCAAGUAUGUGUAAUGGCAUUUGCUCUUGAUAGACUUGCCCUUCUCCUGUGUGCAAAUAGUUUAAAUCAAAAAGGAAGUUUCCUCAUUGCAAAGGGCUGGACGAAGCCCUCAGGAAAAAAGUGGAACUGUUUCAGAGGAAACAGGGAGAAUGAAUGAGUGCAAUGGAUGUUUAACCAAAAAUACUGUAUAAAGGAUUAAAGGUAUCUCCAAAAUCCCAGAGGGGCAACUUGUUAAACAGCCAGCUGUACCAUAACACACUCAAGUCACACUCAAUUGAUUUAAAAGAUGAUUGCAAAAAACAACUAUUGAAAUAAAUAUCAUAUUGAGCUGUCAAAAUGGCUAAUGGCACUAAGACACACCAGUCUUCUUGUCCUGUUGAAUACCUGCUGUGACACAAACAUGGAGGGGUGGUGUUGGGAGAGUCCCUCUGUUGUUUCUGGGCAGAUCUGUCCCACCCUUUGUUCAAAACUUGAUUUAGAUUGUUGCUGCGCUCCUCCCAUCUCCAACACAGAGGUUAUGUGAGGAUUGUGGAUGUGGAAACCUAAGAGCACUUCAAGCUCUCUGCCAUUGUUUCACAUCUACCUGCAUUUUACCAUCAGCUGCAGUAAGUGAAUGUGACUGGUGUGACAGUUGUUAUCAGGAAGUUACCAAGACACUGAGUAGCUUUUUCCUUAAACUUCUGACUGUCUGAACAGCGUUUCAGUGAAAGUAUUUCACUUGAGUUCCCCUGAUGUCGACUUCUGUGUGCUUGUUCUUUGUUUGUGUGAAGCUGAAGGGAAGAUCACUAUCUAAUAAAGUAGAAAUGUGAUGUAUCCAGCAUGUUUCUGAAACCGAUCAUGUUCUUGUUUGGUUUUCAGGUCUGCUCGUAAACUAUGAGUCUCAACUAUUCAGGCUGCGACAUCUUUUUUUAAUGUGGAGAAAAUGAGUUCACAAUGUUACUUCUGCUGUUCCAAAAGGUCAAAGACGUAAAUAUGAAAGCUCCCCUGCUGGCUCAGCUCCUACAUGUGCUGGUAUAUCAACCAGCUUGCAGGAGCUCAUGGUUCAGACCAUUUCGUAGGCUUGACAUUUGGAGAUAGUGCUUGUAAAAUUUUCUUUCAAUUUCAGCAAAAUAUGACAGAAUUUCAUGUGACCACUCCCCAAAUACAAAUACCUUUAUGUUACUAGUUUGUUUGUGUUGGUCUUAUUUGCUUUUAUAGGUUGUAGGGAGGACAUGAAUUUCAAUUUCAGAGGAAGUCAUAAACUACUCAUAAAAUAAACCACCAAAUACUUCAUCAGGAAACAACAUAUGCCUCGUAUUAAAGGAACUCAUAGUAAUUUUGAUUGUUGCCACAUGGUAACAGAUGUCGUCUCUGUUAUGGCCAACGCGCCACAGUGUCAGUGACAAACCUGAGGGUAGACAGGGCCGGUGUUAGUUAACACAGUGUUUGCCUACAGUGGUUUAAUGAACUUGCCUGCCAAGUUCACUUUGAAAAAAACAAGAAAAAGAGUCACUAGUUGAUUUCAUCUAAGUAGCUGUAGCACAUCCUGUGAUAUACAGCAGGUGCCAAAUCCUCCAUCAAAGAAAGAUGAGCUGUUUUAUGCACACCACAAUCAGCUUCUUAAUGACGGUUAUUAUAUGAUUGAACCGCAGUCCUAAAUUGCUUACAUCUAUUUCUGUGCCCGUGCUUAAACUAGCAAUGACUGUCGCCAGCCUGCUUGAAUCAGUGUAUGCGUGGUGUCAUUAUAGUUUAUUCUGGAGGUUUUAUGCGCUACUGUCAAUAUGCACAAUAUGUCACUUUUAUGUAAACUAUCUUACAUUAUAACCCUAGUAUGUUGUAUUGAUACUUAAUGCAUAAAUAAUAUUAUUUAGUGUACUAUGUUGGUUUAUAACUGUUCUACAGCGCUGAUGUCUGGAGGAGGAACAGAACUGUGACUGGACACAAAUCUUCCUCGCAGAUAAAUCUCAGACUUACCUCAAGAAAGGCCAAACACACAAAACCCUGUCUGAAUCACCCUGGUACCAAGACACUAUAUGAUUCAAUAUAUCUAGCUAGCUGUUAGCAGAGCUCUUGCACACCCAGGUGGUCACAAAAUGUGACUACAAACACAUGCACUGCAGGUCUCUAAAACUACACUGACCAUGACAUUCAAAUGUCCAAUUUAAUCCCUAAUUCCUAAUCUCAAUUUAAUGUUUCACAAACCUUAAAAACAAACUGGUUAUACCAAUCUGUAUCUUCUGUGUUGGAUGUCCAAAAACUGAGCACCAACUCAAAUGCACACACAUGCUCGCAGACACACUCCAGUGGGUAGAGUGCUAGGAUAGCAGAAAGCCCUGGCACUGUUCAUUAAUCACUACGUUGAGGUUUUGAUGCCACAGCAGGAAUGGAAAUGCUGCUCUGUCUCUCAUAGAUAUACUAUACUGCCUUCAUCAGCUUCACCAAAGCUCAG